rnacentral:lncRNA from 1 species
UUAAUUUAAAGUUAUUUGUAAAAUCAUAAAAUUUUAAACUUACUUUGAUUAAAGAGUGAAAUGUGCUUAUUGCGUGCGGGUCUUUUCAUGUGCCGUGUUUUAACCCAUUUUUAUCAUGUUGUGCUUUUAAGGCCCGUGUGCCUAAAAUUCUAAGUUCAGCCUAGCCUGCGUGUUGUGUCACGUCGUGCCACCUACCCACCAAAAAGUGCUCGUGUCGUGCCUUACUGUAUGGAUACAUGCCGUGCUUGUGUCGUCCGACCCGUUGGUCAUCUUUAGUUAGAGGAUACCAGUUUGAGUCUUAUGAGGAUUUUUUGUUUUUAAUUUUCCACAAAAAUGUGGAAGAAAAGUAUAGUUAUCCUUAAGUUUGUUAGCCAGAGUAGAUUUCCAAGAUAAUAUCAGUAGAUUUUUAAGCUGUACCAUAAUGUGUAGAGUCCCUAUAGAUCCUAAUUAUAUUAGGGAGAUUAUUAGUUUUUCCCCUACAAAAAUCU